GGUCAUGCAACAAAUAUCUGUAUGUGCACCCAACUUGGGUGCGAUUUAAAAGCAGACCCUUGUAAGCCCUUGAAGACCCAUUUCCAACAUCCAGUAACCCAUGACAAUGUUUUUGUUAUGAUGGAUGCUUGCCACAUGCUGAAGCUGACACGCAAUAUGUUGCAGGCAUACAGCCCAAUUAGAAGCAUAACUGGCAGUAUCAAUUGGAAGUACAUAGUUCAGCUGAACAAUGUCCAAAAGAAAAGUGGACUACAUGCUGCCAACCGAGUCACAGAUAAGCAUGUGAACUUUGCUAAUCAGAAGAUGAAGGUCUCCCUGGCUGCUCAGACUUUGAGUAACUCUGUGGCAGUGGCGCUCCGCACCUUGCAGGACGUGGGCUAUGCAGAGUUCAAAGAUUGUGAGGCUACUUCUGAAUUAAUUAAGGUUCCUCUCUGUCCUGGGCUUCGUCAUAAACAUUGACACGUUGACGUCUAUGGUUCCUGUGCUACUUGAAGGACAGCGAUAUGUCCUGACCUACAGAUUCAGCCAGGACCAUUUGGAACUUCUCUUUAACUCCAUCAGAGCAUCCGGUAGGUGGCUGGAAUAACAACCCUAAUGCCGGCCAGUUCAAAUACAUCUUAAGAAAGCUGAUGGCCCAGUGUGGAGUUGUUAAACCAUGCGGAGGCAAUGUGACUGCACAGGAUGAGACAGAGUCCCUAUCAGCGGUAAUCGACACCUCUACAAGCCUGUCAGCUGUAGAUAUGUCCUCUCUAGCAGGAGGAGAAGAUCUUCCAUCCCCGUUUGCUGACAUUCCUGCCCUAGUACAUGACCACAGCUACCUUCCCGUCCGCUACGAUGGUCUUGUGGACAACGCUCUCGUGUACAUUUCAGGAUUUGUUGUGAGACGGGCUCUGAAGAAGCUGUCCUGUGAUGUCUGCCGUGCCAGCCUGGUGACAGACGCUGCAUCUGCCAUCAAGGACCAGAGCUACCACCUGCUGUGUCUAAGAAACAAUGGAGGCCUGGUGAUCCCAUCAGAGGGCACAGUGAGGGUCGUCAGGGCAGCAGAGUGGCUCAUUCGCCAGGCAUCAGCUAGUUUCAGACGAUCACAGCCCAUCAAACUGCUAGAGGUCUUGUACAUUGUACGGAAGAGGAUCGGGUCAGAGGAUGUGUUUGUGCUCAGGGAGCACAUCGGCGACACGCAGUGUGGCAUAGACAGCCACCACCAUACGCUGCUAAC
ensembl:lncRNA